rnacentral:tRNA from 1 species
ACUCCUGUAGCCCAAUCGGAAGAGGCGGCUAUCUCAAAAACAGUCAGUGUGUGGGUUCAAAUCCCGCCAGGAGUACCA